rnacentral:rRNA from 1 species
GAUGAACGCUGGCGGCGGGCCUAAUACAUGCAAGUCGAGCGAACAGACGAUGAGCUUUCUCCUCUGACGUUAGCGGCGGACGGGUGAGUAACACGUGGAUAACCUACCUAUAAUACUUGGAUAACUUCGGGAAACCGGAGAUAAUACCGGAUAAUAUAUUGAACCGCAUGGUUCAAUAGUUAAAGACGGUUUUGCUGUCACUUAUAGAUGGAUCCGCGUCGCAUUAGCUAGUUGGUAAGGUAACGGCUUACCAAGGCGACGAUGCGUAGCCGACCUGAGAGGGUGAUCGGCCACACUGGAACUGAGACACGGUCCAGACUCCUACGGGAGGCAGCAGUAGGGAAUAUUCCGCAAUGGGCGAAAGCCUGACGGAGCAACGCCGCGUGAGUGAUGAAGGUCUUCGGAUCGUAAAACUCUGUUAUUAGGGAAGAACAAAUGUGUAAGUAACUAUGCACGUCUUGACGGUACCUAAUCAGAAAGCCACGGCUAACUACGUG